AGUGAACGCUGGCGGCGUGCUUAACACAUGCAAGUCGAACGAGAACGGAUUAUAGCUUGCUAUAAUUGUCAGCUAAGUGGCGCACGGGUGAGUAAUGUAUAGGUAAUAUGCCUCUUACUAAGGGAUAACAGUUGGAAACGACUGCUAAUGCCCUAUAUGCCUUUAAUACAUAAGUAUGCAAGGGAAACGCUUUAGUGCUAGAGGAUGGGUCUGUAUGGUAUCAGCUUGUUGGUGAGGUAAUGGCUCACCAAGGCUAUGACGCCUAACUGGUUUGAGAGGAUGAUCAGUCACACUGGAACUGAGACACGGUCCAGACUCCUACGGGAGGCAGCAGUGGGGAAUAUUGGACAAUGGGCGAAAGCCUGAUCCAGCAAUGCCGCGUGAGUGAUGAAGGCCUUAGGGUUGUAAAGCUCUUUUACCCGAGAUGAUAAUGACAGUAUCGGGAGAAUAAG
rnacentral:rRNA from 1 species